ensembl:lncRNA
AUGGAAAUGAAUGUAAAAUGGGUUGGCUGGCCAAAACAGAAGCAAACUGAUGGCACGAUAAAUCCAAACACCUCAGAUUACACCUCUGCUGUCCACAUGUCCUACACUGGAGGAUUGUUCAUUUUGAGAUCCACAACCAAAAUUCGUAACAAGACGUUUAAGGCAAACACAUCUGUUGAAUCUGGACACCUGCAGCGCUGGAGAAUGUUUCUGUCUACGGCCCAGAUGAGGAAAGUCUCCAAGCCACAACAUGACAUCCAUCUCAAGAUCUUUAAUGAGGAUGUCUACCACUGGAGACGCUGGAUUCAUGUGAGGCCCACACUGGACAAGUCACAGAAGAUGAAAGCGGAAGAAGCCAGCGGUGAACCCAGGACUGACCUCUCACAUGUGCAGAAUGAGGGAAAGCUUUGUUUCAGAUUGUCUUAAAAUAGGAACUAGUUCCUCAUUUUUCUCUUGGAGUAUUCAGAAUAUAACAGUCAACAGUUUCUGGUGGGAAACAAAUUUUGCCGGCCCUACGAAACCGAGAAUCGUCUCACGUCUUUGGUUGAUUUAAUACAGCGUUGAUUCGGCUCAUCACUUCACAUUUUGCUUUGAUUACACAACAAAAGGACAGAAAUAAGGUGUUAAAACAUGAAAGCACCCGAAUUUUGUGGCACAAAAAAGUAGGGUAGGAUGAGAGAGAGAAGAAAUGGCAGGUAAUGCAAUAUUCAUGUGCACAAGGCAGAUUUCCCUUUAGUUCUCAUGAUUAGAGGAGAGAAAUCUUCACCCGGCCCGUCUUCUCAGAGGAUGGAUGCAUUAAUGGCAAGUUGUUAUUUUUUGGUACUUUCAGAGAAGAGAGAAGAUGUGGCUUCAUCAAGGAGAUGCACUUCUCCUUCCCCUGCUCUUUGAUGUAGUGAAAAGACGUCCAUGGUUAACCCUGAGUGUGCAGCGCCUGAGUAUUUCUCUUUCAAGCCUGAGAUGAUGAAAGUGAUAGUGCCGUGGUGGCGCUGUAUCAGGGGGAGUCCAGCUUCUCUCGAAAAAGAGACGUGACCCUGAUUGAAAUGAGGAACAUAUUUGAUCUUGAAAUGAAGUGCUUCCUUGCUUUGCACUAAUGCACUCAUCUUUGAUCAUCAAACGUAAAUGAUAUUACCACAUUGCCUUUAAAGCUUACUGAACGACACGCCAGCAUAUUGUCCAGAGAAUAUUGGAGUCAUUGCUGGAAGGAUGUUCAUUGUGUAGGAUAUUUCCAGAUGAGAUGAGCACCAGUGUAUUUGAAAUAGAGCAAACUAAUGUUUUGUUUUUUGUUUUCAAAGUUGUAUAUAAAGAUUAAUGGAAUAUGCUUUAAAAAUAUAUAUUUCACUCUUUCUAUAUCAAAAUUUCAUGUUUAAUGUACUGUGUGCUAGUGAAAUUUACUAGCAAUUUCAGUCUUAAGACAAUCAGAUUAUAUUUAGAUAUAUAUAAAUAAGGAAAUAUAAGUAACUAUAACUUUAUUUGUGUGUGUGUGUGUGUAUGUGUGUGUAUAUAUAUGUAUAUGCAUGAACAUUUAAAAAUAAAUCCAUCAAUUGGUGAAUAAUACAUUUCUUUUUCAUUUUUUUGUUUUUUUGUUUAUUUUCAGAUCUACUUUAAAUAUAUAGAUAUACAG